AGAACUGCGGCGAGGUGCGCUGCUGGUCGGCGGUCAGCGGCGGGACGAAGUCGAUCGCCGGCGCCGGUUCCGGGGACGGCUGGUUCAG
rnacentral:tRNA from 1 species